rnacentral:rRNA from 1 species
CACGUAGGGGCCAAGCGUUGUCCGGAUUUAUUGGGCGUAAAGAGCUCGUAGGCGGUUGGGUAAGUCGGGUGUGAAAACUCCAGGCUCAACUUGGAGAUGCCACCCGAUACUGCUCUGACUUGAGUUCGGUAGGGGAGUGGGGAAUUCCUGGUGUAGCGGUGAAAUGCGCAGAUAUCAGGAGGAACACCGGUGGCGAAGGCGCCACUCUGGGCCGACAUUGACGCUGAGGAGCGAAAGCGUGGGGAGCGAACAGG